GCAAGUGAUUGGGGCUACUUUCCCAGGUCCUUGCCCUACAGGAAUGACGACGCUUCUUAGGUCAAGGCGGCUGAGUGUUAGAAUGUUUCCACGGAUGUCGAGGCCUAGAACCUUCCAGGGUUCGGACACGCCCGAACCGGUGAGAGGAGUGUGUCCUAAUUUCUGUCGGGUUCUACCCUGGGUCAUUGGGGUGACAAGGAUCCAUUCCUGUCUGCUCACCUGCUGGACGGUCAGACACGGUUCGCUCUAACUCUUGAAUUUCUUGGCCUGGACUCCUUUGGCCACUGGAGCUUAAUACAGAUAAAAUGGCCAGUGUGUCAUUGAUGCCACCUAUGUGCAGUGUUCCAAGGGUCGCUGGUGUCAUCAAGUCAGUGGACCUGUGACAGCUUGAAGUCACCGGUGUCCAAGUUGACAUGACAUCCAGGACGAGGGCGUAUGUAGAAUGGGUGUCAUUAUCCAGAAGGAGAACCUGUGAAAGAAGGAGUCUGUAGACUAUUGUAGAGAGCUCUUGAGUCCAAGAUGGCCCUGUUGUCCUUUGUGGGAAGCACAGUGACACAUUAGGGACCUGGACCAAGGCAAGUCGUCUAUGUAGGAGCACACGACAUACAGCGGCAUGCCCACCUACCCUCAUGCUUUCACUCCCUCCUGCAGUCACACCUAAGGGAUAGAGGGACAUGGAGGAGAUGCAAGACUGACCUGUGAAAGGAUGGUGUGGAACUUGUGAACGGAGGACCAGAGCACAUUUCUGACAUGUGUCUGUGACUUGUCCGCCUUGCCCAGGUGGAGUGGCCCUGCAAGGCUCACCAGGGGCCAGACAGGCGACCUUCCCCUUCUUUUGAUGAGCAGAGGUGCCGGGGAAACCUGAGGAAAGUGUCACCCUGGAGUGCCCAUGGAUCACUCUGGAAGGUCAAGUGCAUUGCAAGCUUCUCUCUGGCCCAGAGCAGAGGCGCUUUCUGUCCUUGGAUGACCGGAAGUUCCCAGAAGUCCCAGAGUGUGGACCUGAGUGAGCACCAGGUCUGGGAUCACAUAGGAAGGUAAAUGCAUUUCAGCCAUCUUUGUCAGCCAGGAGUUGAAGUCCUUUCCUUACUUGAAUGACUGUCAGUUCCCAGGGUCCCAGAAGAAGUGUGUGCCUGAGUGAGCACCGUGCCGGGGGUCAGGUAUGAAGGUUGAAUGGCCAUGCACGGCUCAGCAGGCGUCACAGAGAGCCAUCCUUGUCCUUUCCUUUGAGGACCAGAGGUGCACCAGAGUCCUGAGGAGAGUGUCGCCCUGUGUGUGAACCAUGCCCAUCCAGCAGCGAGGUCAAGUGCAUUUCUAGCUUCUUCAUCAGCCAAGAGCAGAAGACCUUUCCCUCCUUGGCUGACUGGAAGUUCCCGGGAGUCCCAGAAGAAGUGUGUCCCUGAAUGAGCACAGUUCCUGGGAUCACUUAGGAAGGUCCAGUGCAUUGCAAGCUCUUCUCUAGCCAAGAGCAGAGGCUAUUUCUGUCCUUGGAUGACCGGAAGUUUCCAGAUGUCCCAGAAGUGUGUCCCUGAGUGAGCACCAGGUCUGGGAUCACAUAGGAAGUGACUUGGAUGUGGAUCCCCCCAGUCACUGAGGACUCUGAGGUCAUUGGGUCACCCAGCAACCCGCCCAGCUGGCCUUUCUCACAGCCCUGCGUCCCAGCACGUGCUCGGAUCGAUGAUGACUCCCUCAUAUGCAUUCCUUGGAAAAUCUGAACAAAAUGAGUGAGAACUCCCACCGUCGUUCUCAUCGAAUCUAAGCUCCAGCAUGUUGACUCCCCCAGGGAAGAAGGGGGUGAGGGACAACUUCCUUUGGUCACACUCAUGCCUGUACCCCCCAUCCUCAGCAAUAGAGAUCAAGUGUAAUUUAAUAUUGUUCGUCAGCCAAGAGUCGAAGACCUUUCCUUAUUUGAAUGACCGUCAGUUUCCUGAGUCCCAGAAGAAGUGUGUGCCUGAGUGAGCACCGUGCCGGGUGUCAGGUAUGAAGGUCAAGUGCAUUGCAAGCUUCCUCUCUGACCAAGAGCAGAGGCCGUUUUUGUCCUUGGAUGACCGGAAAUUCCCAGAAGUCCCAGAAUUGUGGCCCUCAGUGUGCACCGAUCUGGGAUCACAUAGGAAGGUCCAGUGCAUUGAAAGCUUCUUUGUCAGCCAAGAACAGAAGGAAUUUCUCUCCUUGGGUGACCGUCAGUUCCCGGGAGUCCCAGAAGAAGUGUGUCCCUGAGUGAGCACCGUGCCUGGUGUCACAUAGGAAGGUCAAGUGCAUUGCAAGGCACUUUGUCGGCCAAGAACAGAAGACCUUUCCAUCCCUGGAUGACUGGAAGUUCCCUGGAGUCCCAGAGGAAGCGUGGCCCUGAGUGAGCACCGAGCCUGGGAUCACUUAGGAAGUUAGAAGUCAAGUGCAUUGCAAGCUUCUUUGUUGACUAAGAGCAGAAGCCCUUUCUCUCCUUGGAUGACUGGAAGUUCCCGGGAGUCCCAGAAAAAGUGUGUCCCUGAGUGAGCGCCGGGCCUGGGAUCACAUAGGAAGAUGGAGUGGCCCUACAAGGCUCACCAGGGGCCAGAGAGAGGCGACAUUCCCUUUUCAUACUGGAGGUACCGGGAAGCCCUGAGGAAAAUGUCACCGUGGAGUGCCUAUGCCCAUGGAUCACUCAGGAAGCGGCUUGGAUGUGGAUCCUCCCAGCCUCUGAGGACUCUGAGGUCAUUGGGUCACCCAGAGACCAGCCCAUCCGGCCCUGCUCACAGCCCUGCGUCCCAGCACGUGCUCGGAUCGAUGAUGACUCCCUCAUAUGCAUUCCUUGGAAAAGCUGAACAAAAUGAGUGAGAACUCCCACCGUCGUUCUCAUCGAAUCUGAGGUCAAGUGCAUUGCAAGGAUUUUGGUAGGUGAAGAAGAGAACACUUUUCUUCCUGGAAAUUCAUGGGAGUGCAAGAAGAAGGUGGCCCUUCAUGCUGCGUGCCUGGGAUCACUUAGGAAGGUUGAAUGGCCAUGCACGGCUCAGCAGGCGUCACAGAGAGCCGUCCUUGUCCUUUCCUUUGAGGACCAGAAGUGCACCAGAGUCCUGAGGAGAGUGUCGCCCUGUGUGUGAACCAUGCCCAUCCAGCAGAGAGGUGGAGUGGCCAUGCAUGGUUCACCGGGGACCACAGAGAGGCCACCUUCCUCUUUCCUGUGAGGAGCUGGGACGCAUGGGAUUUCUGAGAGACGUGUGGACGUGGGUGUGCACUGUGCCUGUGGAUGACUCAGGAAGGUCAAGUGCCUGGCAAGGUUCUUCCUCAGCCAAGAACAGAAGGACUUUCUCUCCUCGGAUGACCGGGAGUUCUCAGGAGUCCCAGAAGAAGUGUGGUCCUGUGUGUGAACAUGCUUAGGAUCACAUAGGAAGGUAGAACUCCAGUGAACAAAUUCCAGGAGGCAUGUUCUCCAAUAUCUGUGGAACUCCCAGAUGUGAGUGUACCCUCGAGUCACGUGGUGUGGCGUCCGUGGGAUGUUGCUGGAGCCCUUGUGUUGGUUGGUGUAAACCAAGACAUAUCAAAAAAAAAAAAAUAAUAAUUCCUUCCUUAUGAGAUGUGACAAGAAGAAAGGUCUUGGGAGUAAUUCUACUGUCUCAUCCUCAGGAGUCAGCAGGAAUUCUAACACCAAUUUACAUGGACCACUAACUGGGUUUCAUAUGAGAGAGCUUAUUCCUUCUUCUUGAAAGGUGACAUGAAGGAAA